rnacentral:rRNA from 1 species
AGAAGUCCUGGCUAACUCCGUGCCAGCAGCCGCGGUAAUACGGAGAGGGCUAGCGUUAUUCGGAAUUAUUGGGCGUAAAGGGCGCGUAGGCGGAUUAGUAAGUUAAAAGUGAAAUCCCAAGGCUCAACCUUGGAAUUGCUUUUAAAACUGCUAAUCUAGAGAUUGAAAGAGGAUAGAGGAAUUCCUAGUGUAGAGGUGAAAUUCGUAAAUAUUAGGAGGAACACCAGUGGCGAAGGCGUCUAUCUGGUUCAAAUCUGACGCUGAGGCGCGAAGGCGUGGGGAGCAAACAGGAUUAGAUACCCUGGUAGUCCACGCUGUAAACGAUAAGUGCUAA